rnacentral:piRNA from 1 species
UGGUUUAUUUGAACUUCAACG